rnacentral:lncRNA from 1 species
AAGGUAAUUAUCUAAACCUGAAGUCCUGGAAUGUUGAAUGUUGAUUCAUUUGAAGCUCCGCUACUGAACUUGAUGUUUGUGAUAAUCUGAACAUUCGUAUUCAGUAGUGUGAAUAUCUGUUGACUGAUAAUCAGAUGUUUGUAUAUGUCAGCUACUCAAUCCUCCCAAGUACUUUACACCUCUUAAUAUGAAAUGCUAGUGUGCUGGAAGACUUGCUUGGUUUGUUUACUAUACAUAUGGUUUCAACAAUGAAUAUGCUUCUUCGUUUUACUGGUCAUAUUAUUUGGGAAAUAUGGUUACAUGUGGUCAGGAUCCAUACCUCAAUUGAUAUUGCUCUCCUCAAUUGUUGUUGAACCUUGAUGUAUGAAUGUUUCCUGUACGAAUGUUGUUGUUGAACCUUGAUGUAUGAAUGUUUCCUGACUUUAGUAUUUCUUUUUUAACACAACUCCAGUAGGAACCUUGUUGUGGAAUGCUGACCAUAGGAAAUUCUUACUGACCAUAGCUAGUUGACUGGUCAUAUUAUAUUGAUCUGGUUGUAUAUGUGUAUAUGACUGUAGUUUGAGUACAAAUUCUUUCUGACCAUAGCUAGAAAUUCUUACUGACCAUAGGUAGAAAUUCUUACUGACCUGACUAUAGCUACAAAUUCUUACUGAACAUAGCAUACAACAUACAUAUUGAUAAAUGAAGUCCUUGUAUGACUCUUUCAUAUCCUUGUGUGUUUGCACUAGAUUA